rnacentral:rRNA from 1 species
AUUGAACGCUGGCGGCAUGCUUUACACAUGCAAGUCGAACGGUAACAGGCCGCAAGGUGCUGACGAGUGGCGAACGGGUGAGUAAUGCAUCGGAACGUGCCCAGUCAUGGGGGAUAACUACUCGAAAGAGUAGCUAAUACCGCAUACGAUCUAUGGAUGAAAGCGGGGGACCGUAAGGCCUCGCGCGAUUGGAGCGGCCGAUGUCAGAUUAGGUAGUUGGUGGGGUAAAGGCUCACCAAGCCAACGAUCUGUAGCUGGUCUGAGAGGACGACCAGCCACACUGGGACUGAGACACGGCCCAGACUCCUACGGGAGGCAGCAGUGGGGAAUUUUGGACAAUGGGCGCAAGCCUGAUCCAGCAAUGCCGCGUGCAGGAAGAAGGCCUUCGGGUUGUAAACUGCUUUUGUACGGAACGAAACGGCUCUGGUUAAUACCCGGGGCUAAUGACGGUACCGUAAGAAUAAGCACCGGCUAACUACGUG